rnacentral:rRNA from 1 species
AGGAUAAACGCUGGCGGCGUGCCUAACACAUGCAAGUCGAACGCGCUUGCUAUCCGCGAGGAGGGUGAGCGGAGUGGCGGACGGGUGAGGAACACGUGGGUGACCUACCUUUCAGUGAGGGAUACCGGCGAGAAAUUGCCGACAAGACCGCAUACGCUUCUCUUUUCAAGGGGAGAAGGAAAGCUUUUCGCAAGAGAGGCGCUGGGAGAUGGGCCUGCGGCCGAUUAGCUAGCUGGUGGGGUAAUGGCCUACCAGGGCGACGAUCGGUAGCUGGUCUGAGAGGACGAUCAGCCACACUGGGAUUGAGAACGGCCCAGACUCCUACGGGGGGCAGCAGUGAGGAAUUUUCGGCAAUGGGGGCAACCCUGACCGAGCAACGCCGCGUGCAGGACGACGGCCUUCGGGUUGUAAACUGCUUUUCUCUGGGACGAGCAAGGACGGUACCAGAGGAAGAAGCCCGGCUAACUACGUGCCAGCAGCCGC